AUUGAACGCUGGCGGCAUGCCUUACACAUGCAAGUCGAACGGCAGCACGGGAGCAAUCCUGGUGGCGAGUGGCGAACGGGUGAGUAAUAUAUCGGAACGUGCCCGGUCGUGGGGAUAACGUAGCGAAAGCUACGCUAAUACCGCAUACGAUCUACGGAUGAAAGCGGGGGAUCGCAAGACCUCGCGCGAUUGGAGCGGCCGAUAUCAGAUUAGGUAGUUGGUGAGGUAAAGGCUCACCAAGCCGACGAUCUGUAGCUGGUCUGAGAGGACGACCAGCCACACUGGGACUGAGACACGGCCCAGACUCCUACGGGAGGCAGCAGUGAGGAAUAUUGGACAAUGGGCGCAAGCCUGAUCCAGCCAUGCCGCGUGCAGGAUGACGGUCCUAUGGAUUGUAACUGCUUUUAUACAGGAAGAAACACUACUUCGUGAAGUAGCUUGACGGUACUGUAAGAAUAAGGAUCGG
rnacentral:rRNA from 1 species